CCUACGCACUCCUACGGGAGGCAGCAGUGGGGAAUAUUGCACAAUGGGCGCAAGCCUGAUGCAGCCAUGCCGCGUGUAUGAAGAAGGCCUUCGGGUUGUAAAGUACUUUCAGCAGUGAGGAAGGUGGGUAUGUUAAUAGCAUAUUCAUUUGACGUUAGCUGCAGAAGAAGCACCGGCUAACCCCGUGCCAGCAGCCGCGGUAAUACGGAGGGUGCGAGCGUUAAUCGGAAUUACUGGGCGUAAAGCGCAUGCAGGUGGUUUGUUAAGUCAGAUGUGAAAGCCCGGGGCUCAACCUCGGAAUUGCAUUUGAAACUGGCAAACUAGAGUACUGUAGAGGGGGUAGAAUUUCAGGUGUAGCGGUGAAAUGCGUAGAGAUCUGAAGGAAUACCGGUGGCGAAGGCGGCCCCCUGGACAGAUACUGACACUCAGAUGCGAAAGCGUGGGGAGCAAACAGGAUUAGAUACCCUGGUAG
rnacentral:rRNA from 1 species